rnacentral:rRNA from 1 species
AGUGAACGCUGGCGGUAUGCCUAACACAUGCAAGUCGAACGGCAGCACAGUAAGAGCUUGCUCUUACGGGUGGCGAGUGGCGGACGGGUGAGGAAUACAUCGGAAUCUACUUUUUCGUGGGGGAUAACGUAGGGAAACUUACGCUAAUACCGCAUACGACUUACCGGUGAAAGCAGGGGAUCUUCGGACCUUGCGCGAUUGAUUGAGCCGAUGUCGGAUUAGCUAGUUGGUGGGGUAAAGGCCCACCAAGGCGACGAUCCGUAGCUGGUCUGAGAGGAUGAUCAGCCACACUGGAACUGAGACACGGUCCAGACUCCUACGGGAGGCAGCAGUGGGGAAUAUUGGACAAUGGGCGCAAGCCUGAUCCAGCAAUACCGCGUGGGUGAAGAAGGCCUUCGGUUUGUAAAGCCCUUUUGUUGGGAAAGAAAAGCAGCAGGUUAAUACCCCGCUGUUCUGACGGUACCCAAAGAAUAAGCCCCGGCUAACUUCGUG